rnacentral:rRNA from 1 species
GACAGAGGGUGCAAACGUUGUUCGGAAUUACUGGGCGUAAAGCGCGUGUAGGUGGCGAGGCAAGUCGGGUGUGAAAGCCCUGGGCUCAACCCAGGAAGUGCACUCGAUACUGCCUAGCUAGAGUCCCGGAGAGGUUGGUGGAACUCUCGGUGUAGAGGUGAAAUUCGUAGAUAUCGAGAAGAACACCGGUGGCGAAGGCGGCCAACUGGACGGUGACUGACACUGAGACGCGAAA